AGGCACGUAGCUCAGGGGGAGAGCGCUACCUUGACACGGUAGAGGUCGUUGGUUCAAAUCCAAUCGUGCCUA
rnacentral:tRNA from 1 species